rnacentral:rRNA from 1 species
GACGAACGCUGGCGGCGUGCUUAACACAUGCAAGUCGAACGGAAAGGCCCUGCUUUUGUGGGGUGCUCGAGUGGCGAACGGGUGAGUAACACGUGAGUAACCUGCCCUUGACUUUGGGAUAACUUCAGGAAACUGGGGCUAAUACCGGAUAGGAGCUCCUGCUGCAUGGGGGGGGUUGGAAAGUUGCGGCGGUUGGGGUUGGACUCGCGGCUUAUCAGCUUGUUGGUGGGGUAGUGGCGUACCAAGGCUUUGACGGGUAGCCGGCCUGGGAGGGUGACCGGGCCCAGUGGGGCUCGGGAGCCGGCCGGACGCCUUCGGGGGGGAGGAGCGGGGGAUUUUUGAAAAAGGGCGGAAGCCGGAUGCAGCAACGCCGCGUGCGGGAUGACGGCCUUCGGGUAGUAAACUGCUUUCGCCCGUGACGAAGCGUGAGUGACGGUAAUGGGGAAAGAAGCACCGGCUAACUACGU